GAAGGGAGGGAGGGAGGGGAGAGAGGAAAGAGAGAAAAAGAGGAGGGAGGGAGAGAGGGAGAGGAGAGAGAGGAGGGAAGGAAGGAGGAGAAGAGGGAGGGAGGGAGAGAGGAAAGAGGGAAAGAGAUGAAGGAGGGAGGGAAGGAAGGCAGAAAGGAAGGGAGUUAAGCAGUAUAACCCUGUAGCAACAUUUGUAGGAGAAAGAAAAAUCUUCUGUGAGAGGCUGGUGUCCCCAGCAAUUGGCCAGGCCUGCUGAGAAUCACAGGAGUAAGUGCUUUGGUCACGCGGCCCCAUUCUGUCGCGGAGCUCCGGAUUUCCACAGCCGAUUGUCUGCUGGACGUUCCUCCCUGACACGUCUCACAGGUAACCCCUUCCAAAGUCCAUUUUAGGUCCCCCCUCCCGCUGCGCCCGGCCUCCUCCUGCUCUCUGGCCUCCGGAAUGGUCCCCUCCCAGCCAGUUUCUGACACCAGCCGCUGUCCUGGGCCUCACCCGGCCUUCCCAUCCCGACCCAAACGCGUCCUCUCGCCCUGGCCCCGGCAGGCCCUGCCCACACCCGCCCUGCCUGGGCGCCUGCUCCACUGCCGCCCGCAGCCCAUGUCCCUCACGGCUGGACCCUGAGUCUGUCACAGGUCCGCGGCGCCCAGGAUGGGCCAAGCACCCCCCGCCCCUCCCCAGGGUGCUGACCUCGCUUCCGCCCGCCCGUCGGGCUAGGCCCGCCCCAUCCCCAUCCUGCGGCGCCCCUUGGUCCUCCUUCCUGGCCCCUGGCCCCCACUUUACAACCGCCCCUGAUUUGUAGCCCCCAGUGACUAACGCAGCCCCCACCUGCUGGCCUGCGCUGACUGUGCGGGGGGUCCCCGCGGCCAACCUCGCCCCGGAAGUGCAGGGAGCACGCGGCAUAUGGUCGGGGAACAAUUCCAAAGCCGUUGCAGCGAGAGGGGGACAUCCAAUCCUGUCCACCGGCCCCCAAAGGCCGCGGUCCUGCCUGGAGAGCCGAGCUGUGCUAGGCAAGCUUCCGUGUCCCUGCCCUUGGUGGCGCCCGGCCCUCCUGUGCCCUCCUCUUGGCCUCACUCAGACCCCAGGAACCAUCAUGCACUCAGCAUCCCCAGGCAGCUCCAGCACCAAAGCCCCUCAUCCCACAGCCUCCGACACCUCGCUCAGAGUGAGCUCAGCUUUCUUAUCUUCAAAUGUGUCUUCAUCUCAGCGAAGGAAUAAAAAACUCUUCUCUUGGCCAUCCACGGAAAUGCAACUGUCGCUAAAAGGAGGAGAAAAUGUGGUGGGUGUGAGUGUGGGUGUGCCCAAGUGGCCCCUGGCCAUGCUCUUUCCCUCAGUGGGGGGACAGAGGCUGGUUGGAAGAGCACCUCCUUCCCAAGGCUCGAGGACAGGGCCGUCCCUGACACCAGCGCCCAGGCUGGGCUUCUGCACCCUCAGCUUCAAGUAGCCUCGGACCACUGCGGCCGCUGUCGAGGGUUAGCCAUUGAGUUUUUCCUGCACUUUGGGGCUCCUUCGCCAUCUGCAGCUCGACUAGGGUUGCCAGGGAGGCUUCUAUGAAGUGAGCUGAAGGGGCUGAGAACUCUUCCUCUCUCGGGAACACAGCUCCACCACGUUUAUAAGUGAAAAUUGGCUGUGGUGGGGAUCCUUCUGCCAUUCCCCAAUACCCCAGGAUUGAUGAGAGGCAUUCAGAACUGCAAGAGGCGUGAGGGGGCUGCCGUGUCCUUGCCUGGGUGGCCUCCUAGGCUCAAAUUGCUGCCCGAGAACAGGUGGCAGAACAUUUCUGAAUAUUUAACCCUUGUCUCCCAAGAGUGCAGAGACGAUAGUUCUGUGACUAAGGAAAAGAUCCCAUGUCGCUCACACCUCACUUAGGACAACUCGUGUUUUACAGAAACUUAGUAAUGUUAAAGAAUGAUUUGUGGUUUCUUUGCUCAAAUACAGGAAACUGACUUAUCUCAAAAAUGAACUCUCCCUACCGAUUUGCACAGUGAGAUUAUUUCAGCAAACAAGAAAGUGAUGGUUGCCCAUCACACCACGCUGCCUGUGACUCAGACAUCUCUCACAGGCAAAGAAGGGUGUUCUCCUCGCCCUCUCAGUUACUAAUUCUCUGAAAAUGACCAUUUGAUGGGCUGGCUGGUGAGGAUUCAGUUCAGGGAUGACUUCUCUGCUGCCACAAAGUAUGGUUCUGGGAAGGACAGCCAGCCCCAAGGCCAUGAAGGUUUGGGAAAAGUGUCUUCUCAUUUGAAGUACAGUAUUUCCUUGGCCCCAUUUUUCUAUUAAAACAAUUCUUUUUCCUUGGAGAUUGCUGAAGCUCAACUCCGGGGCCAGCCUCAGCUCCAGCAGAACUGGGAGUGUCUCUUGUUUCUACAUAGCUCCCUUCCCUCCUGCUUUCCUACUGUGUAAGGAGAAACAGCAUGUCAUUUCAUUUCUUCCUUUUCUCCCCACUUGCCACUGCAUUCUCUGUCUGGGCCUGUGUCUCUCCUUGCAGAGGCUGUGGACAGGGACACUGAGAGCCACUUCCUGGAGCAUGCUCCCCACCCCCGCAGCCUGUGGCUUCAGCCUCUGCUUCUGCAGGCAGCAGUAGAGGAAGUCAGAACUGUCCCUUCUGACCUGAACAGCUACCUCCUAGUCCUCCCUAUCGCCACAGAGACUCAGCAGUGCAAGUGAGUCCUGUUUGACCUCGUAAACCAUCGCAGACUGUAAAGGUGACUCUGAUGCUCAGGAAAUGGGCAUGCCCAGAGUAGGCCCCAGACUUCCCGCAGGCCCAGGUCCUCCUACCAGGCAAAGGUCCGGCUGCAGUGGUGCUGCACUGGUGUUGUGAGAUGCCUGUGUCAGAAGACACUGAGUUUCCCACUCACCUCCCAUCAAGCCAGCGACCACAGGAGAAAGAGCAGGGCACAUGUGCACCAGCAUGCUGAAGGGAGGGCAAAACCCAUGCUCAAAAACCACAGGCCCUGUUCUAGGAGCAGGAGAUAUAUUUAGCCAAGCAGGAUGUUUGUGGGUAAACCAACAAUUUGCUGUAAAUAAAAUUUUGCAAACUCGGGACUUUAACUGAGGAUUGCUGAAGCGUACUUUGCCUGCAUGUUGGCAAGAGAGCUAUUUUCCCAACACAAGCUCACCAUGACCCCCAUUCAGAGAUGCCUUUGACGCUGAGGGUGUGGGUGCCUUUUCCCUAAAAGGUGCUAUCAGGGGAUUGAGUAGGAGCCUGAAGAGCUAGGGGUAUCUUCUCCCUGCAUGGACCAGCAGGCAGACCCUGUCCCUUCACACUGCAGUGGCAUGUGAUGGGCCCCACUGCCCACCUGAUUCUGCUGUCCAGGCUGAAGUCCUCGUGUGACACUCUAAACUGUUCUGGCAAGGAAGGGUCACAGGUUCUGACCCAGACUCUGAAACUGACCAGCAAUGAUCAGCUCUGCCUGGACUUCAGCCAUCAUUGUGUACAUAAUGCGCAUAGGGUGCUUCUCUCCAUUCCCAGGUUUGCCUCUCUCCAACUUUUGCUGAAGCAGGUUUCUACUCCAUUAGUCCCACAUAUGUGUGCGCAGGGCUGGUACUGACUGUGGUGCUGGGGAAGACAUGUGCUUGGAGGCAGCCCUAUGAGAUGGCACAGCCUGGGGAGGAGCCGCGAUGGGGAGGAGCCAUGAUGGGGAGGACACUGGCCACACAUGAUAGAGGAAGCAUGGCCACACAGUCUUUGCUGUCCCUGCUGCAGCGUGGUUGUGUAAGUCUCCUCCUUCUGAGUAUGUGCGAACUUAUGUGACCAAUUAGACCCAACAGAAAUGCAACAUAUGUGAUGCGUGAAAGUUCCAGACCGGGCCACAGAGAGCUCCAUGGCUUUGGCUGUAUUUCCUGGAGCACUUGCUCCCAGGACACCCUGUCAGAGCCCAGGCACCAUGUCCUGAGAGAACCCCAGCCACAGAGACAAGCCAGGUAUAGGUGCUUUCAUCAAAGCUCCACCUGUGCUUCCAACCAGCAGUGCCAGGGUGCCACUUGUACAGGCAGCUCCAGCCUCCAGGGGAGGCUUCAGAGGACAGCAUCAGGCAGCACCCACAUAGGAGACCUGGACAGAAAAACGCCUAGCCAAGCCCUGCCCAGAUCCCUGGCCUGGGCAAUUGCGAGCACAGCAAUUCAAUGUGGAGCGGUUUUAUGCUGCAAUAGGUGGCCAAAGCGCUAUGGAAGUAUCAGGAGCCCCUCACUGGGGUGUCAGGAGAAGACGUUCAAGGAAGGCUUCCUGGAAGAAUUCGUACCUCAGUUGGUACAGGAUAAGGCGAGAUGGAGAGAAAGCAGCCCAAUCUGAAGACCCAGAGGUGAGAGAGGGUCCCAUUCCCCUGGGGAUGUGUGGUCUGUGGUGGGAUUCGAGCCCUGGUGAGCUGGAAGCAGAGGAUGCUCGGAUAAGCUGUACUCUGAAUCCCUCUGUGUUGACUGCAGCACUUGCUGAGGAAGCCGCCUGGCCAUGCCCACACCCUGCAGAGGGAAGGACUGUGGAGGGCAGGACUCAAAGGCCUCGGGCAGCCACAGGGCGCAUGCUUGUCUCUGACUCACCGCAACGAUGUAGCACAACGAUGUAGUGCUGUGGCAGCUGCUGGCAAGCCUCACACCCCAUUCCCUCCAGAGGAUUUUUUAAAAUACACAAAGCUGGGAGCGAAGGGGCAUUUAAUUCCCCUAUGAAUGCAUGAUGAACGCAGCUGGAGCAGCCAGCCCCGCUGCAGCUGGGAAGAUGCACUGCCUCGAGGUGCAGGCACUGUUCGCUGCCAUGUGUGUGCACAGGUCCUGAGGGUGAAAGGUCCCUGGUAUUUGGCUAGAGUGUUAGGCUCUGAAGAAUAAGAAGUCCCCCACCUGGUGUAGAAGGUCUAGCCAGGCUCCAGACUGGUUUCACAGAGGUAAUGCUUUUUUAUUUGAAAUCCACAAGAGCACGCUGCAAUGUCACUGCAAGCUUGAACACUGCUUCUCAAACUUUCAUGAGCACCCAAAUCAUCAGGGGGCACGACGCAGUGGGUCGCUUACUGAAAUGAAGACUCUGCAUCACAAGGUCUGGGAUGGGGCCAUGAUUGUGUGUUUCUAACAGGUUGCUGGUGAGGCUGAAGCCACUGAUCCAUGGAGCACAUUUUGAAUAGCAAGAAUGUGGAGGAGCUGUCCCAAGAUGGGGCGUGAUUUAUUUGAACUCUCACAGUGGUUUGACAAUGGACAGCUUGUCCACAACUAAAAAAUAAAAAUAAAAUAAAAUCACACUCAUUAUUCCUGGAAUAAGCAAUAAAAUUGGAAAUAAAUCAAA